AUGCAAAUCAGUGGCAUUUGUUACUCAAUAAACCCCCUCCCCCAGGCAUCAGCUCGUUGUCCUGCUCCUCCUCUCUCUCAUUCUGCCGACGGAUGCCCGUGCGUGCUCUCUGGCCUCGGACGCCACGAAGAACUCCUCGCCAAGCAGCAGCUCCACCGCGCCUCUUCUGCGCCAGCUGAACCACGAGCAGCACCUGCUACUGCUGACGACGACACCGCCCAACCGAUGCGCACACCGGUCGCCGCCGCCUCGCCGGGAGGGCUCGUUCUCGCGUCCGCUCCUCCUACCGGUCAUGGGAACUGCUAG
rnacentral:rRNA from 1 species